rnacentral:rRNA from 1 species
UACAGAGGGGGCAAGCGUUGUUCGGAAUUACUGGGCGUAAAGGGCGCGUAGGCGGCCCUCUAAGUCAGACGUGAAAUCCCCGGGCUCAACCCGGGAACUGCGUCUGAUACUGGAGGGCUUGAAUCCGGGAGAGGGAUGUGGAAUUCCAGGUGUAGCGGUGAAAUGCGUAGAUAUCUGGAGGAACACCGGUGGCGAAGGCGGCAUCCUGGACCGGUAUUGACGCUGAGGCGCGAAAGCCAGGGGAGCAAACGGG